CUACAGGAUUCCCCUAGUAACGGCGAGUGAAGCGGGAUGAGCUCAAGCUUAAAAUCUCUGACACAUAUUUAUUAUGUGCGGCGAAUUGUAGUCUAUAGAGGCGUGGUCAGUGUAGGCACUUGAGAUAAGUUCCUUGAAAGAGGACAGCAUGGAGGGUGAAACUCCCGUUCAUACUUGAGUUUUGCUUAUACGUACGGCCCGUUUUCUUUGAGUCGCGUUGUUUGAGAAUGCAGCGCAAAGUAGGUGGUAAAUUCCAUCUAAAGCUAAAUAUUGGUGCGAGACCGAUAGCGAACAAGUACCGUGAGGGAAAGAUGAAAAGAACUUUGAAAAGAGAGUUAAAGAGUACCUGAAACUGCUGAAAGGGAACCGGAUCGUUUCUAGUGUCUAUAAUCUGUGACAUAUUUCAUUGGCGAGUGUGUGCGUGUGUAUACUAUGGCAGCGGCUAUUUUUUUUGGCUGCGCUUGGUGUGCGUGCUGUAUGCGCUUACUGGUGCCCUGUGUUGCGGUGGGACGUCAAGGUCAGUUUGUAUGCUGCGGGAAAUGGCUACUGAGGAGGUAGGGCUUACGCUUGCGUUUGUCUAUUAUAUCUUGGUGGUUGUGUCGUGGUUGAGACUGAGGUGUUCUACAACGUGCUUUUGAGUGGGUCUGCGUCUCUGUGUGCACCGUGUGCGGAUAGCUUGCUAUGUGUGUGUGGUUGUGUGUGGAUUGAUGCGGGCUUUAACCUGUAGUCGUUCGGGACUUUGACGAAAUAGAGCGAUUUGACCCGUCUUGAAACACGGACCAAGGAGUCUAACAUAUGUGCAAGUGUUAGGGUGUGGAAACCCCAGCGCGAAAUGAAAGUAAAGGAUAGUGAAAACUGUCUUAGGUAGGAAACGUUGCGGAUUUCGGUYUGYGGCGUGGCACUAUCGACCGAUCAUGAACCUUCGUGGUGAAAGAUUUGAGUUUGAGCACAUAUGUUGGUACCCGAAAGAUGGUGAACUAUGCCUGAGUAGGGUGAAGCCAGGGAAACUC
rnacentral:rRNA from 1 species